rnacentral:rRNA from 1 species
GUGAAUCAUCGAGUCUUUGAACGCAUAUUGCGCCUCCUGGCAUUCCGGGAGGCAUGCCUGUCCGAGCGUCAUUGAACAAAUGUCGCGCAACAUUUUUGUUUUGUGUUUUCGCAUGGCAGGAUUUGUUGGCGUUAUUGUUGAUGGAUGAGUGCACACGGCCCGACGGCUGAGCACAUACCUUUGAAAUCACUCGGCGGAGUUCUUGCAAACUCAACGGUGUAAUAGUAUUUUCGAUUCACCUUAUAUGGGUUUGCUUUGAUAUCUUGCCAUGUUAACUCCCAGUUUUAAUUCAAUGUUUGUACCUCGGUAUUCAGGUAGGGAUACCCGCUGAACUUUAAGCAUAUCAAUAAGCGGAGG